rnacentral:rRNA from 1 species
AUUGAACGCUGGCGGCAGGCCUAACACAUGCAAGUCGAGCGAGCGGCGGACGGGUGAGUAAUGUAUGGGGACUGCCCGAUAGAGGGGGAUAACUACUGGAAACGGUAGCUAAUACCGCAUACUAUCGGAUAACCCAUAUGGGAUUAGCUAGUAGGGGAGGUAAUGGCUCACCUAGGCGACGAUCCCUAGCUGGUCUGAUAGGAUGAUCAGCCACACUGGGACUUGGACACGGCCCAGACGCCUACGGAGGCAGCAGUGGGGAAUAUUGCACAAUGGGCGCAAGCCUGAUGCAGCCAUGCCGCGUGUAUGAAGAAGGCCCUAGGGUUGUAAAGUACUUUUAGGCGGGAAGCGUUAUCUACAGAAUAAGCACCGGCUAACUACGUGCCAGCAGCCGCGGUAAUAC